GAGCAAUGCGAGGAGCCAGCCCUAGUAUGAGAGGACUGGGCUGGGUCAACCUAUGGUGUACUGGUUGUUAUGCCAAUAGCAGCGUCGGGCGGCUAAGUUGGUACGGAAGAACUACUGCGUCAUGGGAAAUCCUUCUCUAUACAAGUUCUC
rnacentral:ncRNA from 1 species